UUCAACGGACAGUUGCAAUCUACAUAAGU
rnacentral:sRNA from 1 species